rnacentral:lncRNA from 1 species
AGUACAUAUAUAUACCACAAUUUUUGUAUCUUUGUUUGUAUAUAAAGUAUGUUGACACCCAAUUUAAGUCUUCAUACAUGUACUUUGGAUAAUCAUGUCCAUCACAUUCCACCAUCCUUGCUGAUCCCUGCCCCUUCCCUUUCCCUCCCACCCCUCUUCCCUAUCUAGAAUUCAUUUAUACCUCCCAUGCUGUCCCUCCCAGUCCCACUAUGAGUCAACUUCCUUAUAUCAGGGAAAACAUUCUGCAUUUGUUUUUUUGGGGGGAUUGGCUGACUUCACUUAGCAUUAUCUUCUCCAACGCCAUCCAUUUACCUGCAAAUGCCAUGGUUUUGGUUCUUUUUUUUUUAAUGCUGAGUAAAAUUCUAUUGUGUAUAUAUGCCAUUUUUUUUUUCAUUCAUCCACUGAAGGACAUCUAGGUUGGCUCCACAGUUUAGCUAUUGUAAAUUGUGCUGCUAUAACUUUAAUGUGGCUGUGUCCCUGUAGUAUGCUGUUUAUAAGUACUUUGGGUAUAGACAGAGGAGAGGGAUAGCUGGGUCAAAUGGUGGUUCCAUUCCCAGUUUUCCGAGGAAUCUCCAUACUGCUUUCCAUAUUUGCUGCACCAAUUUGCAGUCCCACCAGCAAUGUAUGAGUCUGCCUUUUUCUCCACAUCCUCCCCUACACUUAUUGUUGUUUGUCUUCAUAAUAGCUGCCAUUCUGACUGGAGUGAGAUGAUAUAAAAAGAGAGAAUUUUCAUGAAUUUUUUUUACAUUCUUUUUCAUGACUAGAAAGUCUCUUGGGAACCAGGAAAGUGCUUCAGGAACAGAGGGCUUCAGUAUAUUUUGUUGUUAUUGUUUUUGUCACAUUUAAUUUUCUUAUUAUAGACAGUAGCACCUUUUGUCAGAAACUGUCAGGUCCUGCGUUAUCUGACCUCAUGGAGGAAGAGUGCAGGUGCUCCUGGAAUUAAUUUUGUAUGGUACAGACCUUUGACCUGGUGCUGCCUCCCUGGCUCCUGAGUGCCACUCUGCUAUGUUUUGGAACUUCUAAGAAGAGAUUGCUAGCCUUUGACUUUGAACAGCUUCC